rnacentral:rRNA from 1 species
GACGAAGGGGGCUAGCGUUGUUCGGAAUUACUGGGCGUAAAGCGCGUGUAGGCGGUUGUUCAAGUCAGGUGUGAAAGCCUUGAGCUCAACUCAAGAAAUGCACUUGAUACUGGAUGACUAGAGGACCGGAGAGGAUAGUGGAAUUCCCAGUGUAGUGGUGAAAUACGUAGAGAUUGGGAAGAACACCAGUGGCGAAGGCGGCUGACUGGACAUGUAUUGACGCUGAGGUGCGAAAGCUAGGGGAGCAAACAGG